rnacentral:rRNA from 1 species
AGCUCCAAUAGCGUAUGUUAAAGUUGUUGCGGCUAAAAAGCUCGUAGUUGGAUUUCUGUUGAGGACAUCUGGUCCGCUCUAUGAGCGUGCAUCUAGUUUGGCCUCGGCAUCCGCUCUGCAAACGUUUCUGCGCUUGAUUGCGUGGAGCGGAGGUAGGGCCUUUUACUUUGAGGAAAUUAGAGUGUUCACGGCAGGCAAUCGCCUUGAAUAUAUUAGCAUGGAAUAAUAACAUAGGAUCUUGGUUCUAUUUUGUUGGUUUCUAGGGCUAAGAUAAUGAUUAAUAGGGACAAUUGGGGGCAUUCGUAUUGCGGUGUCAGAGGUGGAAUUCUUGGAUUACUGCACGACGAACUACUGCGAAAGCAUUUGCCAAGAAUGUUU